AACGAACGCUGGCGGUAUGCCUAACACAUGCAAGUCGAACGAGACCUGCGGGUCUAGUGGCGCACGGGUGCGUAGCGCGUCAGAACCUGUGGUUAGCUUCGGAAUAACUCCUGGUCAGGGGUGCAAAUAACGGGUAAUGUAUUCGGACCAAGCAUGCAACGUCGUGGGAUGGGCCGGCGUUGGUUUAACUCGGUGGAAGGGUAAAAGCCUACGAAGUCGACGAUCCAUAGCUGGUCUUAGAUGAUGAUCUGCCACAAUGGGGCGGAGACACGGCGCAGACUCCUGCGGGAGGCAGCAGUGGGUAAUAGAGGACGAGGGGCGGCAGGCUGAUGCAGCAAUGCCGGGGGAGUGAUGAGGGCCUUAGGGUUGUAAAGCUCUUUUACCCGGGAUGAUAAUGACAGUACCGGAAGAAUAAGCCCCGGCUAACUCCGUG
rnacentral:rRNA from 1 species